UAUUGAUGACCUUAUGGGAGAGUGCCAAGACAUGCUAACGAAGAGGAAAUGGCAUGAGGUUUGUUCUCAGAUGGUUCAACUUGGCAUGGGAGAGAGCCAAAUAUAAACACUCAUGUACUACAGCCCCACUCAAAGGUGGCUCUUAUCAGAAAGGGAAAAUUCUUCCCAAGCGCAUAGCUUCAGAAAGUGCAACUUAUCACCUUUCCGUGAAAGAGAAAAGUGGCCUAAGGGGGAAAAGUGGGAAAUGGAAGUGCCU
rnacentral:lncRNA from 10 species